AUACGUAGGGUGCAAGCGUUAAUCGGAAUUACUGGGCGUAAAGCGUGCGCAGGCGGUUUUGUAAGACAGAGGUGAAAUCCCCGGGCUCAACCUGGGAACUGCCUUUGUGACUGCAAGGCUAGAGUACGGCAGAGGGGGAUGGAAUUCCGCGUGUAGCAGUGAAAUGCGUAGAUAUGCGGAGGAACACCGAUGGCGAAGGCAAUCCCCUGGGCCUGUACUGACGCUCAUGCACGAAAGCGUGGGGAGCAAACAGGAUUAGAUACCCUGGUAGUCCACGCCCUAAACGAUGUCAACUGGUUGUUGGGUCUUCAUUGACUCAGUAACGAAGCUAACGCGUUAAGUUGACCGCCUGGGGAGUACGGCCGCAAGGUUGAAACUCAAAUGAAUUGACGGGG
rnacentral:rRNA from 1 species